rnacentral:lncRNA from 1 species
UAAUUAUGAUAUUUAAUGUUUUCAACGCCGACGAGCUGGAGCAGUCGGCACUGCAGACCCAUUUGAAAACUCCGAUAUCUCACCAACAGUUGAUGUUUCCCUUGUCAUAAAUUCCAUUUUUUUCCUACCGAUCUUUGGCAGUUUUAUUCAUCUGUGGUCAGGGUUUCGAUUCAGUUUCGACUCAGUUACCAUUGCAGAGCAAGUCUGGAGGUGAUUCGAGAACUGUUGCGGCGAGAAAUCGAUUCGAUCAUCCCAUCAUUUGCCUUUCAGCCAGUGUUGUUGAGGUAUAACUUCUUUUGAAUCGUGCAUGCAGUGUUAGAUUUGUUAUAUUGGCAGAAAGGUGGAAAUGAUUUACUCGAUUGAAUCAUGCUUCAGUCUUUGAACUAAGAAAUGGUGUGAAACGAUACAGUCUGCGCUGCUGUUAGUUUAAUCAGUUUUUGGCCACAAGCAUUUCACUUGUUGCAAGUAUACCACUAUACAAAGUACCAGUAUGUACGCUUUUUGGCUGUUUUUGUACGGAAGUAUACAUGCAAUUUCCUUUAGUUAUAUGGCUAAUUAACUAGACCAAUCUUCUGUGAUUGGCUGUUGGUGGAGGAACUACUACUCUGCAACUUGAUGGAUUUUGAUAAGGUUGAAUGGUAUGAUGGGCAGCCAAGAAUGUCGUAGAUGUUGGGCGAGAACUCAAAGCCCCCUCUCGGUACCUAUACUUGGAAGGGCCAUAGGUGUAGCCGGGCUGCUUCCCGACUUAGUCGAUGCCGGUUCUAUUAAGAUAUGAAUACACAGGUACAUUAAUUUCGUGACUUUCAGCUUUCAUUUUCAUCAUCAUGAUUGAAUUUAAGUUCCAAUCUUCUAAUCGGUUUUAAUAUCUUACGUCUUGUUAAUUGCAUCUAACCCGACUUGAGAAACUCACGAAUCCAACUAACCAAAAGACCUCCUGAAAUGAAAGCUGACUAAUCCAGCCAAAACUUCUAAAACUAAGUAUAUUGCAUUCAGAGAGGGUAUAGAUAGUAUUACAUCUUAUUAUAAACACGGCAUUCAACAGCAAAAUAUUGAACUGGAAGACUAUAGGGAUUUACCAGGGAAUCCUUCAAGGAACUCUGGAAGUAGUUUUCGACCAGUAUUAGACGUUCCUCAGUUAGUGCCUCAUAAUAAAGUAAUAUACCACAUUGUCUGUUUUUUGGCCAACCAAGUAGGGAUGCUGGUGUAAAACUAAAAAUCCAAGUAUGUAAAAAAGCAUACCUUUCUCGGCCUUUUGGCUAAGAUCAAGUGUAGUAUCUGUUCUUAUCAGUUUAAUAUCUGAUAUGUGAGCCAUUGGCUGACACGAUAUUAAAUUUAUUUUUUUAGGGGGAGAUUUCCGCCACUGGAGCUUGCUUCAGGGAAGUCUCACGCGUCGCCCAUGCGUUGCACUGCUGUAAGGGCCUGGCGCACCCCACCAAUUUCCAGUUUAAAACUUGUUCUGUAUGCUGUUCUUCACUUUUAAAAUGUGAUUUUGAUGCAGUUGGUUUGUACUUUAGGGGUUGCUAAUGUCCUACAGUUAGUAUUGAAGAGUAGAAGAGCAUGUAAAGAAAGUCUGGACUGAUGUUCCAGUUCAAACUUCUUCUGUAUUAUGUUCCAUUCUAAAUAUGUGAUUCUGGUGGAGUUUGGUGUACUUCUGGGUUUGUUAAUGUUGAAAAAUGUGAAAGAAAAACUUGUGCUGCGUUUGGAUUCCAAGUUUGCAGGCUCCUGGUCUACUUACGUUUGAUUGUCCCUACCUCCGCCCUGCCUGGUGGUUUAUCUCUUCCCCCACGGCCACAGGUACUUACGUUAAGAUCAGAAGGUAGACAGUCCCAUAUUCAUAGCAUCAAUCUACUAUAGAUUGAACUUCAUUAGGAGGCUUAUGAAGGCUGGAGUUAGUCUACGUUGGAGACAUGUUGAUUCAUGUGUUGGAAAGCCAAUCAAAAUGGUGCAGAUAGAUGUUAGAGACUUACAGUUAUGCUAGAUGUAAGGAGGUCUGUAAGUGAUUUGAAAUAGAGAAGAAUGUCUAUUUCGGUUGUUUUGUUGUAG